rnacentral:rRNA from 1 species
GAUGUGUACAUAUUUUAAUUAAAAAUCAUUUUAUUAAAUUAAAUAAAAUUACAUUUAAAUCCAAUUUCAAAUAAAUAUUACAAUUUACCAUUCAAAAAUAAUUUUAUUGUAAUCCAUUAUAUUCUUAAAUAUAAACUACAUCUUGAUCUGAUUUAAUUUUUUUUAAAAAUUUUAAAAUAUUAAAUUUCAUAAAAAAUAUUUUUUUAACAACGAUAUAUAAAUUUUUAAUUUAAGUAAAUUAAUUCGUGGAUUAUCAAUUAUUAAACAGAUUCCUCUAAAUUUACUAAAAUACCGCCAAAUCAUUUAAAUUUCAAUAAAUAAUUAUUUACUAAUUU